AUGGGGAGAAGACCCGGUCUGAUAUAUGAAGAGGGCAUUCUGCACCGA
rnacentral:snoRNA from 1 species